ACGAACGCUGGCGGCGCGCCUUACGCAUGCAAGUCGAACGGUCCUUCGGGACAGUGGCGGACGGCUGAGUAACGCGUAGGUAACCUGUCCAAUGGUGGGGGAUAACACUUCGAAAGAAGUGCUAAUACCGCAUGUGAUCGGUUGGUGAAAAUCCGGCCGAGGAAAGCCGCAAGGCGCCAAUGGAGGGGCCUGCGUCCUAUCACGGUAGUUGGUGGGGUAACGGCCUACCAAGCCUGUGACGGGUAGCUGGUCUGAGAGGACGACCAGCCAGAAGGGGACUGAGACACGGCCCCUACUCCUACGGGAGGCAGCAGCGAGGAAUCUUGGGCAAUGGGCGAAAGCCUGACCCAGCGACGCCGCGUGAGGGAUGAAGGCCUUCGGGUCGUAAACCUCUUUUGUGAGGGAAGAAGUUCUGACGGUACCUCACGAAUAAGCCACGGCUAACUACGU
rnacentral:rRNA from 1 species